CCCUUAGAUGUUCUGGGCCGCACGCGCGCUACACUGAUGAACGCAACGAGACCACCUGUACCGAAAGGCAUGGGUAAACUUGUGAAAGUUCAUCGUGAUGGGGAUAGAUUAUUGCAAUUAUUAAUCUUCAACGAGGAAUUCCUAGUAAGCGCGAGUCAUAAGCUCGCGUUGAUUACGUCCCUGCCCUUUGUACACACCGCCCGUCGCUCCUACCGAUUGAAUGGUCCGGUGAAAUCUUCGGAUUGCUGGAUAGGACUUCAUUGACCUAUCUGCGAGAAGUUGCUUGAACCUUAUCAUUUAGAGGAAGGAGAAGUCGUANCA
rnacentral:rRNA from 1 species